rnacentral:lncRNA from 1 species
AGCUCAAGUGCCUGGACGCCUUUCCAAAUCUGAAGGACUUCAUGGCUCGAUUUGAGACCCUUGAGAAGAUCUCUGCCUACAUGAAGUCCAGCCGCUUCCUUUCAGGCCCUGUGUAUUUGAAGACAGCGCUGUGGGGUAACAAGUAGAGCGCCCGUAAUACCAGGGCCAGGAGGAGAUUUACCUCUAUGCUUGCGGUCCAUGGUCUGGGGCCCAUCUGCGUCCCCGGGCAUCUCUGUAUCAGUCUUCCCACCUCCGUUCUUCUCUGAAAGGUGUUAGUGACUCCGCUUUCUACCCAGCCUUUCUGUAAGGGGAGGUUCUCAAACUCAGGUCUAGUUCCCUAAUUGGUUCUUGAUGUGUCAAUAAAGAAGGCUGGGAGCCAAUUGCUGGGCGGAAGGUAACAGUCAUGUAAGGUCUUCCGGCAGCUAGGGCCUGUGGCCUCCGCAACAGGCGGAUAGCCAAGGAUGUUGGCAGGGGCUGGCUGAUACAAGUCACUAAGUUUAGGGCAGAGGGAGAUGGAGAUAAUAAACUGGUAAGAGCACGCCUUUCCAGGCCGUUGUUAUCUGAGCCCAGCAAUUGUGCCUAGCAGGCAAAUUCUAAAG